ACCUCUCACCUUUGACGGUUUCUAAUGACCGUUCAAAUGCGUGGAUUUGGGUGUCUGCCUGGUGAACAACCUUAUGGCUCGCCUUAAAAGUAUUAGCUCGGUUCUAGUUCCAUGGCCUGAGGCGUAAUAAGUUAUUCGUCUCUGGGACUUGGUCUGGUCGGCUUCCAAUACCCAUCUAAUCUCUUG
rnacentral:misc_RNA from 2 species